rnacentral:rRNA from 1 species
AUGUGUAUUCCGAAGGAGAGAGGAGGUAUGGGAUUCCGGGAUAUUCAUAGCUUCAACUUGGCAAUGUUGGCAAAGCAGUGUUGGAGACUAAUUGAGAACUUUGGUUCAUUAUGUGCACGAGUUCUGAGAGCCAAGUACUACCCUACAGGAGAUAUUCUGAAUUGUCAACUGAAGAAGGGAUCGUCCUAUGUGUGGCAAAGCAUUUGGUCUGGAAUUCAAACGUUCAAGAAGGGUUACAUUUGGAGAGUAGGCAAUGGAGAAAAGAUUAAUAUAUGGGAUGACUGUUGGAUCCCGAACAGUGCCUCCAAAAAAGUUUUAACAGUAAGGGGACAAGUACUUACUAAAGUGAAUGAGUUAAUUGACCCAAUCACGGGAGAAUGGGAUGAGAUGUUAAUCCGGGAGAAUUUCUGGCACAUUGAUGCUGAACGCAUACUAAUCCCAUUAUUCCAUGUGGAGACAGAGGACUAUGUUGCAUGGCAUCUCACGAGGAGCAGCGUUUUUUCAGUACGUUCUGCCUAUUAUAAGCAAUGGGAAGUAAAUUAUGCUACAGAUGACAGCGGUCUGGCCCGCUUCUCCAUGGCGCCCCAUCCAGUUUGGAAGAAGUUGUGGAGUUUGAGAGUGCCAGCGAAAGUUAAAAUUUAUAUCUGGAGAUGCUUGCACAAUGCCAUCCCAUGCCGAAGCACUCUUAUGAAUCGCCAUGUUGGAAACUUGUCCCAAUGCCCAUACUGUACAGAUGGUGCGGAGGACUUAGCCCAUAUGUUGUUUAAGUGUGUAAGGGCGCAAGCAGUUUGGGAAGCUUUGGGGAUCGCA